rnacentral:rRNA from 1 species
ACAGAGGUCCCAAGCGUUGUUCGGAUUCACUGGGCGUAAAGGGUGCGUAGGUGGUGAGGUAAGUUUGAUGUGAAAGCUCCGGGCUUAACCCGGAAAUGGCAUUGAAUACUACCUUGCUAGAGGGUUGGAGGGGAGACUGGAAUUCUCGGUGUAGCAGUGAAAUGCGUAGAUAUCGAGAGGAACACCAGUGGCGAAGGCGAGUCUCUGGACAACUCCUGACACUGAGGCACGAAAGCUAGGGGAGCAAACAGGAUUAGAUACCCUGGUAGUCCUAGCCCUAAACGGUGCGUACUUGCUGUAGGCGGAAUCGACCCCGCCUGUGGCGAAGUUAACACGAUAAGUACGCCGCCUGGGGAGUACGGCCGCAAGGUUA